UUUUUUUUUUUUUUUUUUUUUUUUUUUUUUUUUUUUUUUUUGUUGCCU
rnacentral:ribozyme from 1 species